GGGAAGCAACUGUCAGAUCAGGUUCACUGAUGUGGGGAGACUCAUCUGAACAUAUGCAGCACCAUUCCAGGGGCUGGAACACAAGACCAGAUAAGCCGGGGAAAGAGUCGAGCCCCAGCAGUCAUCCGUUUCUGAUUCCGACUCCAGACACAGUGUAUUAUGCUGCCACACACUCCUGAUGCUGUGACUUCUGAAGCCUGGUGGGCUGUACUCUACAGCAGUGGAAUUGGGAUAACAGAGUUUAUUAGCUGGGUUCACUGGCUUCUCUUCCCCAAAGCUUGAAACUAUUCUUCAAACUUAGCCAAGGCCCUUCCUUUGUGAGCAAGCCAGCUUCAGGAGCCCAGGCAAGCACAUGGACAAGGUUCAGGCUGGGCUUCCUGAAGAAAGCUGUGAACAGAGCCUGCCAGCCACAGGCUGGACCUUCCCAACAGCAGAACAGAAGGUUCAUGUUCAUCCUCUGUAGACAAUUCUACAAUUCUAAACACUGACAAGUCCAUAAAACUUAAACUUUUUAUUUUGUU